CCUACGGGAGGCAGUAGUGAGGAAUAUUGGUCAAUGGGCGGAAGCCUGAACCAGCCAAGUAGCGUGCGGGAUGAAGGCCCUACGGGUUGUAAACCGCUUUUGCACGGGGAUAACACCCUCCACUUGUGGAGGUCUGCAGGUACCGUGCGAAUAAGGGCCGGCUAAUUCCGUGCCAGCAGCCGCGGUAAUACGGAAGGCCCGAGCGUUAUCCGGAUUCAUUGGGCUUAAAGGGAGCGUAGGCGGCCGUUAAAGUGAGCGGUAAAAUCGCGCGGCUCAACCGCGCCCCGCAGUUGAAACUGGACGGCUUGAGUGCACGACAGGCAGGCGGAAUUCGUGGUGUAGCGGUGAAAUGCAUAGAUAUCACGAGGAACCCCGAUUGCGAAGGCAGCCUACCGGAGUGCGACUGACGCUGAGGCUCGAAGGUGCGGGUAUCGAACAGGAUUAGAUACCCUGGUAGUC
rnacentral:rRNA from 1 species